GACGAACGCUGGCGGCGUGCCUAAUACAUGCAAGUCGGGCGGACCGAACGAGGGCUUGCUCUUGUUUGGUCAGCGGCGGACGGGUGAGUAACACGUGGGCAACCUGCCCGCAAGACCGGGAUAACUCCGGGAAACCGGAGCUAAUACCGGAUAACACCGAAGACCGCAUGGUCUUCGGUUGAAAGGCGGCCUUUGGGCUGUCACUUGCGGAUGGGCCCGCGGCGCAUUAGCUAGUUGGUGAGGUAACGGCUCACCAAGGCGACGAUGCGUAGCCGGCCUGAGAGGGUGACCGGCCACACUGGGACUGAGACACGGCCCAGACCCCUACGGGAGGCAGCAGUAGGGAAUCUUCCGCAAUGGGCGAAAGCCUGACGGAGCGACGCCGCGUGAGCGAAGAAGGCCUUCGGGUCGUAAAGCUCUGUUGUGAGGGACGAAGGAGCGCCGUUCGAAGAGGGCGGCGCAGUGACGGUACCUCACGAGAAAGCCCCGGCUAACUACGU
rnacentral:rRNA from 1 species